UCCGUAGGUGAACCUGCGGAGGGAUCAUUACCGAGUUUACAACUCCCAAACCCCUGUGAACAUACCACUUGUUGCCUCGGCGGAUCAGCCCGCUCCCGGUAAAACGGGACGGCCCGCCAGAGGACCCCUAAACUCUGUUUCUAUAUGUAACUUCUGAGUAAAACCAUAAAUAAAUCAAAACUUUCAACAACGGAUCUCUUGGUUCUGGCAUCGAUGAAGAACGCAGCAAAAUGCGAUAAGUAAUGUGAAUUGCAGAAUUCAGUGAAUCAUCGAAUCUUUGAACGCACAUUGCGCCCGCCAGUAUUCUGGCGGGCAUGCCUGUUCGAGCGUCAUUUCAACCCUCAAGCACAGCUUGGUGUUGGGACUCGCGUUAAUUCGCGUUCCCCAAAUUGAUUGGCGGUCACGUCGAGCUUCCAUAGCGUAGUAGUAAAACCCUCGUUACUGGUAAUCGUCGCGGCCACGCCGUUAAACCCCAACUUCUGAAUGUUGACCUCGGAUCAGGUAGGAAUACCCGCUGAACUUAAGCAUAUCAAUAAGCGGAGGA
rnacentral:rRNA from 3 species